UCAUUCCAGAAACCUCAGUUAUGAAUUGUUUGUUGGCCAACGAGAGAGAGAGAAAUAAAUGAAGACUCCACGUGGGAUUUCUUCUUCUCCAGAGGAUGCUCCAGUUGCGUGGUAACCGUGUCAAGAUUUCCAGCUGAAAGCGAGUUUUCGAAAAUGUCCGCCUUCCUAUAUAGCGUCUCGUGACGUCAGACUUGGGACGCCCAGUCAUAUCAGUUGUGAUGCUUGACGGGAUGGAGGAGCGGACUGUCCUGGAUAUAAAAUGGCCGAAAGGAUCAGGAGGCCUGGUGUCUGUGCAAGUAGUCCAAUAUUCAGCAACAAGUGGUCCAACAUGCUAAAGUAUAAAUGCUAAUGUUUUCACUUUUGUUAGGAUAGGAUAGGAUAGGAUAAGAAUCCUCACUGACGCACAUCAUAAGGACAAAUGAAAAAGAGUUUGACAUAAAAUGUAGUGCAUUGGUUUGAUUAUGGAACACUCUGUAACCGGGUUGAUAAGAUUGCUGCAGCCACACUUACUGUAGAUUCAGGGUUGGACAACUGCUAUUACACAUACUAUCAGAUAGACACCAGAAUGGUGACAAAUAGUCUACUGACAAACACUCAGGGAUAGCUCUCUGAUUAUUCCUUAAGAAAAGUCGAAAAGCUGCUGGCUCCCUUUUUUGAGUAAACAGCAGUGUAAAUAUGAAAGUGUAACAUCAACUGGCCCAUGUGAAUGUGUGUGUGUAGAUAACAGUGAGCUAGCCGAAGUAGCGGGGAGACACAUUACACUGACGGACUUUGACUAAUAGAUGCUAGGCCAACAGUCGCUAGCUCACUGAAUAAACUCUAUUGUGAACAAGCUUUGGUGUCUGAGAGAUAAAGAAAUAAGCUCUCAUUUGAACCAGUAAAUGGUGCUGUAAAUGGACUGAACUUAUAUAGUGAUUUUCCAGUCAUGCAGACCACUCAAAGCGCUUUACACUAGAGCCACAUUCACCCAAUCGCACUCACUAAUGCUCACACAUUCAUACACCAAUACGCAGAUUGGUAGGCAACUUGAGGUUAAGUGCCUUGCCCGGGUAGGAGGAAGGUGGAAUCAAACCCACAACCUCCUGAUUGCAAAACGAGCCACAGUCGCCUGGGCCACAGUUGCUGUACUGCCUGGCUGGCCAGAACGUAUGAAAGUGUGUGUGUGUGUGUGUGUGAAGUGAAAGAAUGACGAGAAAUCACGAGAAAAUGAGUUCCCUGCUUGGCAAGCAUGGGAAACACGGAGGAAAAGUAUAUUAGCAAACAUUCCCCACAAAGAUGUUUUUACAAUUUAAAACAACAGUUUGAUGGAGCGUGUUUGGGUCCCAAAAUAAUCGAAGAAUCACUGGAAAACGGUAAGACACUAUUUUUAACCAUUAAGAGAAAAAAAAUGGCUCCACUUUUUAAAGUUGUGCACACUUAUUUUUAGACAGAAUCCUAAGUUAAAACAAGAUAAGGUUGACUACAGCAUUGCUGACAAAAUAUGCGGUAGAGCAGAGAUUAUUUUCAAAUUUGGUAUUUAUAGUUUAAUAAAACGUUUAUGUGGCCAAUGCCAUUUCGUCUGUCCAUUUAUGUGGAAUGAAUGACUGUUUAAUGCUAAUUAAAAAUCAGGGUAUAUGUGGCAUGAUGAAUUUAAUUUUACAUUGUUUCGUGAUCUGAGACUAAUUGGUAUUUUGAGUUUUUUAGGUCUGGGGAGCAGGUGCAAAGAGGGUCCCUCAAAUUCAACACAAAAUGAAACGCAUGCUUUAACAGAAUUACUGGACAGGCUUAUUUUGGUAAAAAUUGUAUGGUGUUUUUAAGAAUAGCUAAGACAAACUGAGGUUAGAAGUGAUAUAUACCCUUCAUUUUAGAGCUUAUAAAUUUUAUCAAGCCUUGUAAACUGAUAGGGGGAACCAGAUCUUGAAAAUGGCAUCGAGGGUUGAGAUUUAAUACUUACAUUUACAAUUUAAUGAAUACAAUACUCUGACCCUUUUCGAAUCCUGCACCUAAAAAGAGACUAAUAGAUAGACGUCAAAAUAAUAGCAACUAAUAAAACAUAGCUACCCCCUUGUUAAAAAUAAGGACUAACUGCAAUAGGAAAACGCAGAUACAACUAAACAAGCUAAAGUGUCAGGAGCUGAGUGCUAUGUUUGCUUUCUGUGCUGUUCACUGUGCUUAGCCCCUAGAUGGCACUGGAGACCGUGAGGAGAGGUGACAGGUGUUCCCCAUUUCCCUGAUCAUCCCUGGGGGUAUUUAAGAAGGAGGCUGCCAGCAACUCACUGCCAGAGUGUUGCCCUCAGUGGUUGUUUUACCUGAACCUGGAUUUCUGACUUCUGGAGAAAGGUCUUCAACUUUGUGGAUUAAGAUCUAAGUUUCCUGUUUACUUCACCUGACAACAACUGGCUGGCUGCUUCCUGACUCGACCAUUCCUCGGACCUCUUCAAGCGAACCCUGUCCACCCUCCACCAACUGCAGUACCGCCAUCAUAACCCCAGUGCCAAACCCCUUGUGUCAAGGACCUACCUGCUCCGGUUUAACCUGGGAAGAUGGAGAUGACGGCGAAACAUUUGAGGGUGGACAGGUAGGUGAGUGAUGCUGGUGGAAUGAAGGUGAGUUCAGACAACGGAUCCAGAGGAUGCACCAGAGGAGCUUAGCAGAGGGGAUCUGAAAUUAGUUCUCUUAUGAAAUCCAGGAACAAAGAGGCAGAGGACUGCAGUCCUGGAACAGACUGUGGGCUGGAUUCUUGUUUCCUACAAGGAAAACAACAAUGGGUCAGUGAGGAACAUACGAUCAAGCAGAGCAACAAACUAGGAAAGGACCUGAUUACCACUUGGUGAGAAGUAGCAAUCUGGCACCUGCCUCAGGGAAUCCACUCAUCUUUAAGCUCCUACUGAUGGGACCAAGAUAAUCUCCAGAUGUGAAGAUGCACCUGCCAGUCAAACUGUAUCUUGUCUAAAAUGUGUAUUUAAAUAUGUAUGUAUAUUUUUCAACUUUUUUCAGUUUUUAUUUUUGGAAGCAUUUUACAGUCUGUAAAUAAUAUAAUAAAGUAUUCUAUACUAUA